rnacentral:rRNA from 1 species
UUCCGGGUGAUCCUGCCGGACCCGACUGCUAUCGGAUUGAGAUUCAGGCCAUGCGAGUCGAACGCCUUCCUGUUGCGGGAGGCGUGGCGUACGGCUCAGUAACACGUAGUCAACCUGGCCUAGAGACAUGAAUAACCCCGGGUAACUGGGAUUAAUACAUGAUAGAUCAUCUCAUCUGGAAGGAGACAUGGUUUAAAGGGGUGCGCGAGCUUCUUUUGGUCAUCCGCUCUAGGAUGGGACUGCGGCCGAUCAGGCUGUUGCGGGGUAAUAGCCCACCAAACCUGUAACCAUACGGGCCUUGAGAGAGGGGGCCCGCCUAAUGGACACUGAGAGAAGGGUCCAGGUCCUACAGGGCGCAGCAGGCGCGAAAACCUUCGCAUGCGCGAAAGCGUGACGAGGUUAAUCCGAGUGGUUCCCGCUGAGGGAAUCUUUUGUUGCUCUAAAAUGGCCAGUGAAUAAGGGGAGGGCCCGACUGGUGUCAGCCGCCGCGGUAAUACCAGCUCCUCGAUGGAUCCGGGGCGAUUAUUGGGCCUAGGAGCAUCCGUAGCCGGCUUCUGUAGGUCUUAAACUGUUAAAUCCAACGGUCAAACCGUUGGCCUGCCGAAGAUACCGCAGGACUAGGAGGCGGGAGAGGUGGA